rnacentral:tRNA from 1 species
GGGCGUGUAGCUCUGCGGGAGAGCACUACGUUGACAUCGUAGGGGUCACUGGUUCAAUCCCAGUAUCGCCCACCA